rnacentral:sRNA from 1 species
CUGUGAAUCUUUUAAAGCCUCAGUUUUAUGACCCUGUGGAGCCAGGGGACUUUGAAGGACUUCUGAUGACACACCUGAACAGCCUGGAUGUGCAGCUUGCCCAGGAGCUUGGGGACUUCACUGAUGACGACUUGGAUGUGGUGUUCACGCCAAAGGAAUGUAGGACUUUGCAGCCCUCUUUGCCAGAGGAAGGGGUUGAACUGGACCCUCAUGUCAGGGACUGUGUUCAGACCUACAUCCGUGAGUGGCUAAUCGUGAACCAGAAAAACCAAGGAAGUCCAGAAAUCUGUGGCUUUAAAAAGACUGGAUCUCGAAAAGAUUUUCACAAGACGCUUCCGAAACAGACGUUUGAGUCGGAAACCUUGGAGUGCAGUGAACCCGCUGCUCAGGCAGGCCCCUGCCACUUAAACGUGCUGUGCGAUGUGUCUGGGAAAGGCCCCAUCACUGCCUGUGACUUUGACCUCCGCAGCCUGCAGCCUGACAAGCGGCUAGAAAACCUCCUGCAGCAAGUGAGUGCUGAGGACUUUGAGAAGCAGAAUGAGGAGGCCCGGAGGACCAAUCGGCAGGCCGAGCUCUUUGCCCUUUACCCCUCAGUGGACGAGGAGGAUGCUGUGGAAAUACGUCCAGUACCAGAAUGUCCCAAGGAACACCUGGGCAACAGAAUAUUGGUCAAGUUGCUGAACUUGAAGUUCGAGAUUGAAAUUGAGCCUCUGUUUGCCAGCAUUGCCCUCUACGAUGUUAAAGAAAGGAAAAAGAUCUCAGAAAAUUUUCACUGUGACCUGAACUCUGACCAGUUCAAAGGAUUUCUGCGAGCUCACACGCCUUCAGUGGCCGCAUCAAGUCAGGCGAGAUCUGCAGUCUUCUCAGUCACCUACCCGUCCUCAGACAUCUACCUGGUAGUCAAGAUUGAAAAAGUCCUGCAGCAGGGAGAGAUUGGAGACUGUGCAGAGCCCUACACGGUUAUCAAAGAAAGUGAUGGUGGAAAGAGUAAAGAAAAGAUUGAAAAACUAAAACUCCAAGCUGAAUCCUUCUGCCAGCGUUUGGGGAAAUACCGGAUGCCGUUUGCCUGGGCACCCAUAAGCUUAUCAAGCUUCUUCAAUGUCUCCACCCUUGAGAGGGAGGUAACUGAUGUGGACUCUGUGGUUGGGAGAAGCUCAGUGGGUGAACGGAGGACAUUGGCCCAAUCUAGAAGGCUUUCUGAAAGAGCCCUCUCCUUGGAGGAAAAUGGGGUUGGAUCCAACUUCAAAACCUCCACCCUGAGUGUUAGCAGCUUUUUCAAGCAGGAAGGAGAUCGCCUUAGUGAUGAAGACUUAUUCAAGUUUUUAGCUGACUACAAAAGAUCAUCAUCCUUACAGAGACGAGUCAAGUCAAUUCCAGGCUUGCUCAGACUAGAGAUUUCUACAGCUCCAGAGAUCAUCAAUUGCUGUCUGACUCCUGAAAUGCUGCCUGUGAAACCCUUUCCUGAAAACCGGACACGCCCGCACAAAGAGAUUUUGGAAUUUCCAACACGAGAAGUAUAUGUCCCUCACACUGUGUACAGAAACCUUCUCUAUGUCUACCCACAGAGGCUGAACUUUGUAAACAAACUAGCAUCAGCCCGGAACAUUACAAUAAAGAUCCAGUUUAUGUGUGGAGAAGAUGCUAGCAACGCGAUGCCGGUAAGGAGGGAAAUGAACAUUUGCCUCAAAUCAGGGUGGGCUGCACACCCCUGUCAAUUCACACAAGUCCAGGACUCAUCAGUGUACAGAGUCCGUCUAUUCCAGGCCAAUACUGCUGAGCAUGUGCAAGGGCUUCUGUGCCCAGGAUACCAAUGGAGAAACAGGGUCAGUCUUACUUGACAAUCUCUUUCUCAACUUAUUCUGUAGUGAGCUUGGAACAUACAGAUCAUUUUAGAGGAUUAAAAAAAAUCAUAAAGUCUUUCCAUACUGCCCAUAGGACCACCCCACUCUAAAGGCAUACAAAGUAAAGAGAUGGCUCAACAUGUGCGCCAUGUUUGCUGAGUGUCUUCCAUGCAAAAACUGUACACACUGUGUUAUACACACACUGUGUUACACACUUACUGAAGCCUUGGACCACAGUGCUAAUAAAUACAAAGUACUGCCUAGUAAUUAUAAACACACACCACCUCCACACCUUCUAGGAGUGGAUCUUUGUUCUGAGGCAAAAUAUAAAUCAAAUUAUAUACAUAUAUAUAUAUAUAUAAAAUGCAGUGUGCUCCAAGGAACUCAAAAUGCCAGAAUUUAUACUUUUUAAACCAUAUCCUACUAGAUGAGAUGGUGGUUAGCUAUUACUAUUUCCCAUAAGUCAUAGAAUUCAGUUCAUAUAACUUUCUUUCUUUCUUUCUUUUUGAGACGGAGUUUCACUCUGUUUGCCCAGGCUGGAGUACUAUGGCCACAACCUCCACCUCCCAAAUUCAAGUGAUUCUCCUGCCUCAGCCUUCCAAGUAGGUGGGAUUACAGGUGCAUGCCACCACGCCCAGCUAAUUUUGUAUUUUUAGUAGAGAUGGGGUUUCACCAUGUUGGCCAGGGUGGUCUCAAACUCCUGACCUCAGCUGAUCCACCCGCCUUGGCCUCCUAAAGUGCUGGGAUUACAGGCGUGAGCCACUGCACUCAGUUAAUAUACCUUUCUAAAACAAAAAAGAAAAAAAAGAAAAAAAAAACCUUUUUCUUAAUGUCCCACCCAAAGAAAAAAAGAAAAAAAAAAACCUUUCUCCUAAUGUCCCACCUGUCUUCCCAAUGCAAGGUGUCUUAAGACAGUGGUGGGGUCCUCUUAGUCCUCUCUGCUCAGGCCCCUGGCAUGCCACUGCCAGGAAUACCAGGCAUGCUUGUGCAGAUCCUGUGGCAGCCAAGAUGCCCAGCCAAGGGUGACUGUGGGCUAAAGUCCAGUCUGUUCUUCAUUCACUGAGCCAUGGGUUCUGGUGUUGGGAUUACUGCAUCUAGAGGAAAGAGCUUUUUUUCUCUGCACAAAGGUGAGUGCACUUGUUCAUAAUGCAUCCUAAAUGCUGCUUCAGGCCCAAGGAGGUAUCUUUUUCUAAAUAGCACAAAUGUGGAUAAGGCAGUGGAGAUUGAAACCACUUAAGUGACUAGGUCUGUAUGUUCGGAGAGAGAAGAACCUGGAACUGGGGAUUUCUCACUCAAGACAAAAGUAUGUAACUUUGGCCUGUUGGAUAGACCUCUAGGCAGUGAGGCAGAGUGGAGAGAGUACUGGUUUUCUAAUCUCACAAACAUGUGGCCCUUGGUCACUAAUAUAGCCCCUUGGAACCUCAUUUCACCCUUCAUAGCCAGUUCCUCUGCACUGGUGUGCUUGGGCCAGUUGUAGUCCCAGCACUUUUUUUUUCUUUUUGAGACAGGAUCUCACUCUUGCCCAGGCUGGAGUGCAAUGAUGCAAUCUCAGCUCACUGCAACCUCUGCUUCCUAGGCUCAAGCGAUCCUCCUGCCUCCGUCCCCUGAGUAGCAGGGACUAUACACAUAUGCCACCAUGCCUGGCUAAUUUUUGUAUUUUUUUGUAGAGAUGAGGUUUCGCCAUGUUGCCCAGGCUGGUCUCCAACUCCUGGGCUCAAGCCAUUCUCCCACCCCGACCUCCCAGGGUGCUGAGAUUACAGGCGUGAGCCACUGCUCCUGGCCAACCCAGCACUCUUAAUUGUACAAAAUGCAGCUCUAUGAGACCAGAACAUCCGGUUGGCCUGAUGAUAGUCAAUUCGAUGUACCCAAAUGUUACUGAUAAUUUGAUCCUUUCUCUACUGGUGAACAGGUCAUCUUUGGAAAGUCCAGCGGGCCUGAAUUUCUGCAGGAAGUGUACACAGCUGUUACAUACCAUAAUAAGUCUCCUGACUUUUAUGAAGAAGUGAAAAUUAAGCUCCCCGCUAAGCUCACAGUAAAUCACCACCUCCUGUUCACCUUCUACCAUAUCAGCUGUCAGCAGAAGCAAGGAGCCUCCGUGGAAACUCUCCUGGGAUAUUCAUGGCUGCCAAUUCUCUUAAAUGAACGUCUUCAAACUGGAUCCUACUGUCUCCCAGUUGCCUUGGAAAAAUUGCCACCCAACUACUCCAUGCAUUCUGCUGAGAAAGUCCCAUUACAGAAUCCUCCCAUUAAGUGGGCUGAAGGACAUAAGGGAGUAUUUAAUAUUGAAGUGCAAGCUGUUUCUUCUGUGCACACCCAGGACAACCACCUGGAGAAGUUCUUCACCCUCUGCCACUCCCUGGAGAGCCAGGUGACCUUCCCCAUCCGCGUGCUGGAUCAGAAAAUCAGCGAGAUGGCACUGGAGCAUGAGCUGAAGCUCAGCAUCAUCUGCCUGAACUCCUCCCGCCUGGAGCCGCUCGUGCUCUUCCUGCACCUGGUGCUGGACAAGCUCUUCCAGCUGUCCGUGCAGCCCAUGGUCAUUGCUGGCCAGACAGCCAACUUCUCCCAGUUUGCCUUCGAGUCCGUGGUGGCCAUCGCCAACAGUCUGCACAACAGCAAGGACCUGAGCAAGGACCAGCAUGGGAGGAACUGCCUGCUGGCUUCCUACGUGCACUACGUCUUCCGCCUGCCAGAGGUGCAAAGGGAUGUGCCCAAGUCAGGCGCUCCCACUGCCCUCCCAGACCCUCGGAGCUACCACACGUAUGGCCGCACAUCAGCUGCUGCUGUGAGUUCAAAGCUGCUGCAGGCCCGGGUGAUGAGCAGCAGUAACCCAGACCUUGUGGGGACACACUCCGCAGCAGAUGAGGAAGUGAAGAACAUCAUGUCUUCAAAGAUCACCGAUCGCAACUGCAGCCGAAUGUCUUACUAUUGCUCUGGCAAUAGUGAUGUUCCAAGUUCAACUGCAGCCCCAAGGCCAGCCAGCAAAAAGCAUUUCCAUGAGGAGCUUGCCCUCCAGAUGGUGGUCAGCACUGGAAUGGUGAGAGAAACAGUCUUCAAGUACGCCUGGUUCUUCUUUGAGCUUCUGGUGAAAAGCAUGGCCCAGCAUGUACAUAACAUGGACAAACGGGACAGUUUUCGGAGGACUCGUUUUUCUGACCGUUUCAUGGAUGAUAUAACUACUAUUGUUAAUGUGGUCACCUCAGAAAUUGCAGCCCUUUUAGUAAAACCACAGAAGGAAAAUGAACAGGCGGAAAAGAUGAACAUCAGCUUGGCUUUCUUCUUGUAUGACCUUCUCUCCCUCAUGGAUCGGGGCUUUGUGUUUAACCUCAUCAGACAUUAUUGCAACCAGCUGUCAGCCAAGCUCAAUAACCUUCCAAUGCUCAUUUCCAUGAGGCUGGAGUUCCUGAGAAUCCUCUGUAGCCAUGAACAUUACCUCAAUCUGAACCUUUUUUUUAUGAAUGCUGAUACUGCUCCAACAUCUCCUUGUCCUUCCAUAUCUUCCCAGAACUCAAGCUCCUGCUCCAGUUUCCAGGACCAGAAGAUCGCCAGCAUGUUCGAUCUGACUUCCGAGUACCGCCAGCAGCACUUCCUCACCGGGCUCCUCUUCACAGAACUGGCUGCUGCCCUGGAUGCCGAAGGGGAAGGAAUCAGCAAAGUACAAAGGAAAGCUGUCAGUGCCAUCCACAGCCUGCUAAGUUCUCACGACCUGGACCCACGCUGUGUCAAACCAGAGGUGAAGGUCAAAAUCGCUGCCCUUUACCUGCCUUUAGUUGGCAUCAUUUUGGAUGCUUUGCCACAGCUCUGUGACUUUACAGUUGCAGAUACUCGCAGAUACCGCACCAGCGGCUCAGAUGAAGAACAAGAAGGAGCCGGUGCCAUUAACCAGAAUGUGGCUCUGGCCAUAGCAGGGAAUAAUUUCAAUUUGAAAACAAGUGGAAUAGUGCUGUCUUCCUUGCCCUAUAAGCAGUACAACAUGCUGAACGCAGACACUACUCGCAACCUCAUGAUCUGCUUCCUCUGGAUCAUGAAAAAUGCUGAUCAGAGCCUCAUUAGGAAGUGGAUUGCUGACCUGCCAUCAAUGCAGCUCAACAGGAUUUUAGAUCUACUUUUCAUCUGUGUGUUAUGUUUUGAGUAUAAGGGAAAACAGAGUUCUGACAAAGUCAGUACCCAAGUCCUGCAGAAGUCAAGGGAUGUCAAGGCCCGGCUGGAAGAGGCUUUGCUCCGUGGGGAAGGGGCCAGAGGGGAGAUGAUGCGCCGCCGGGCUCCAGGGAACGACCGAUUUCCAGGCCUAAAUGAAAAUUUGAGAUGGAAGAAAGAGCAGACACAUUGGCGGCAAGCUAAUGAGAAGCUAGAUAAAACAAAGGCAGAGUUAGAUCAAGAAGCCUUGAUCAGUGGCAAUCUGGCUACAGAAGCACAUUUAAUCAUCCUGGAUAUGCAGGAAAACAUUAUCCAGGCAAGCUCGGCUCUGGACUGUAAAGACAGCCUGCUGGGAGGUGUUCUGAGGGUGCUGGUGAAUUCUCUGAACUGUGAUCAGAGUACCACCUACCUGACUCACUGCUUUGCAACACUCCGUGCUCUCAUCGCCAAGUUUGGAGACUUACUCUUCGAAGAGGAGGUGGAACAGUGUUUCGACCUGUGUCACCAAGUCCUGCACCACUGCAGCAGCAGCAUGGAUGUCACCCGGAGCCAAGCCUGUGCCACCCUUUACCUCCUCAUGAGGUUCAGUUUUGGAGCCACCAGUAACUUUGCAAGAGUAAAGAUGCAAGUAACCAUGUCGCUGGCAUCUUUGGUGGGAAGAGCACCAGAUUUUAAUGAAGAGCACCUGAGAAGAUCCUUGAGGACAAUUUUGGCCUAUUCAGAAGAGGACACAGCCAUGCAGAUGACUCCUUUUCCCACCCAGGUGGAGGAACUUCUCUGUAAUCUGAAUAGCAUCUUAUAUGACACGGUGAAAAUGAGAGAAUUUCAGGAAGAUCCUGAGAUGCUUAUGGAUCUCAUGUACAGAAUUGCCAAGAGUUACCAGGCAUCUCCUGAUCUGCGGCUGACCUGGCUCCAGAACAUGGCAGAGAAACACACCAAGAAGAAGUGCUACACAGAGGCUGCCAUGUGCCUGGUGCAUGCUGCUGCGUUAGUGGCUGAGUAUCUGAGCAUGCUGGAGGACCACAGCUACCUGCCCGUGGGCAGUGUCAGCUUCCAGAAUAUUUCUUCCAAUGUGCUGGAGGAGUCUGUGGUCUCUGACGACACCCUGUCACCUGACGAGGAUGGGGUGUGCGCAGGCCAGUACUUCACUGAGAGUGGCCUGGUGGGCCUCCUGGAGCAGGCUGCGGAGCUCUUCAGCACGGGAGGCUUAUAUGAGACGGUUAAUGAGGUCUACAAGCUGGUCAUCCCCAUCCUAGAAGCACAUCGAGAAUUCCGGAAGCUGACACUCACUCACAGCAAGCUGCAGAGGGCCUUCGACAGCAUUGUUAACAAGGAUCAUAAGAGAAUGUUUGGAACCUACUUCCGAGUUGGUUUCUUUGGAUCCAAAUUUGGGGAUUUGGAUGAACAGGAAUUUGUUUACAAAGAGCCUGCAAUUACCAAGCUUCCUGAGAUCUCACAUAGACUAGAGGCAUUUUAUGGUCAAUGUUUUGGUGCAGAAUUUGUGGAAGUGAUUAAAGACUCCACUCCUGUGGACAAAACCAAGUUGGAUCCUAACAAGGCCUACAUACAGAUCACUUUUGUGGAGCCCUACUUUGAUGAGUAUGAGAUGAAAGACAGGGUCACAUACUUUGAGAAGAAUUUCAACCUCCGGAGGUUCAUGUACACCACCCCAUUCACCCUGGAGGGGCGGCCUCGGGGAGAGCUGCAUGAGCAGUACAGAAGGAACACAGUCCUGACCACUAUGCACGCCUUCCCCUACAUCAAGACCAGGAUCAGCGUCAUCCAGAAGGAGGAGUUUGUUUUGACACCGAUCGAAGUUGCCAUUGAAGACAUGAAGAAGAAGACCCUGCAGUUAGCAGUUGCCAUUAACCAGGAGCCGCCUGAUCCAAAGAUGCUUCAGAUGGUGCUGCAAGGCUCUGUGGGAGCUACUGUAAAUCAGGGACCACUGGAAGUAGCCCAAGUGUUCUUGGCUGAAAUUCCUGCUGAUCCAAAACUCUAUCGACAUCACAACAAGUUGAGGUUAUGCUUUAAGGAAUUCAUCAUGAGAUGUGGUGAAGCUGUAGAGAAAAACAAGCGUCUCAUCACGGCAGACCAGAGGGAAUAUCAGCAGGAACUCAAAAAGAACUAUCACAAGCUAAAAGAGAACCUCAGGCCAAUGAUCGAGCGGAAAAUUCCAGAACUGUACAAGCCAAUAUUCAGAGUUGAGAGUCAAAAGAGGGACUCCUUCCACAGAUCUAGUUUCAGGAAAUGUGAAACCCAGUUGUCACAGGGCAGCUAAGAAAAGCCAUCUUCAUUCGUGGAGACUGUGGCCCUGCAACCCUGGAGAAGGACUUGCUGGUACUUAAAAAAUGGGACAUUUGCCACCCAGGACUGACUGUACACUCCCUGACCAGCCAGCACUCUGGAAGCUUUGGGAUCCCAAGAACCAUGGAAUUAUACCCAAAUGGACUCUGACCAGAUUUUUGCCAUACUGGGGGGUGGCGGGAUGGAGGAUGGGUACUCAGGCGUGACUGCGUAUUUAUUAAAGUGUGUUUUUCCACAAUGUACCAAACAAGGCAUAAGCAGCUUCUCCUGCUGACUGGUCAAUCACUGCCCAUCUGAGAGAUGAUUUCCUCUGGCCCAUAUUUGAAUUUAUUGGAGUAACUCAAAUUGCCUGAAGAAAAAUGGAAAAAUUAUCCACCAGUCGAUUCAAACUGAAUUUCCCUCUUUAUAGGAAGGCAGGGCAAACUUGUAGGAGUACGAAACAUUUUCAAUUAAUCUACAAAGAGAAGCCUUACUACAAUUCUAAAAAUCAUCAUGGUUGGAAAUUUGGGAGGAGAUUAUUUGUGAACUUGUUACCCUUUUGGUAAUGGUGGACUAGUUGUUGUAUAGUUAUUUUUAUUUUAUUAUUACUGUUAUGUUAAUUUAACAUGCAUUUAUAGAAGAAUACAUUCAAAGCACUGAUGUAGGAGAUACACGGUACUUGGAGCAGUCAGCCCAAAAUCACAGAUACUGCUUUCACUUAAAUGGAAACAAUUCUCCGAUAAUGCUUUGCUUUUUUUCUUAUGUCACUCUUGUGUACUAUCUAUUUUUCUCCUCUCUGGGACCAAGUUUCUUUUUAUAAAGCAAUAAUAUCUCUGUUUUCAUUUCAGAACAUUGUGCUAUCUGUCAGCAUAUGUGUAUCAGCUACAAAAUAUAUUCAACUUUGACUUCUUUUGACAAUGGGCUUUAGGAAAAAGAGGAACAAAGACAUUAUUUGAGAAUUAAAUUAUCUAUUUUUAAUAUGACUGUGACCUUGACUGAUAAUAAAGAUGUAAUAAG